rnacentral:rRNA from 1 species
UACGGGGGGGGUAAGCGUUGUUCGGAAUUACUGGGCGUAAAGGGCUCGUAGGCGGCCAACUAAGUCAGACGUGAAAUCCCUCAGCUUAACUGGGGAACUGCGUCUGAUACUGGAUGGCUUGGAUUCGGGAGAGGAAUGCGGAAUUCCAGGUGUAGCGGUGAAAUGCGUAGAUAUCGGGAGGAACAUCAGUGGCGAAGGCGGCUGCCUGGCCCAAUACUGACACUCAGGUGCGACAGCGUGGGGAGCAAACAGG